UCCCUGGUGGUCCAGUGGCUAAGACUGCACUCUCAAUGCAGGGGUCCAGGUUCAAUCCCUGGUUGGGGAA
rnacentral:tRNA from 1 species